rnacentral:antisense_RNA from 1 species
CCGAGAAGGAGUCAGUCAGAGAGCCUUGGGCCAGAGUUCCAGGGGCUCUGGGAGUGGCUGCCAGCUUGUGUUCAUCCAGCUCUUUCGACUCUGUCCAUGAACACUCUAUCUCCUCUCAACAAUGAUUUGGGCUGUGUUUUGGAUCCAGCUGCUUAAGAAGGAAUGACUGAGGAGAAGUCAAUUGGGCCAAAAUUAUUCUAGGAGGUAACCAGAGAUGACCUUGUACUGUGAGAGGAUUUGACCCUGGCAUGUGAAAUGGCAGACGAGAGCUAGAAAGAGUCAAGGAAACAUUUCUUUUGAGCUAUUGUCAACUUUUAACAAGGAAGUAUACUCCUAUGAACAAAAUUUGGAGCAUAUUUGUUUCUUUCUACCUGAUUUCUCCAGAAUUUGGGAACUAUUUGGAUGCAUUCUCACCAUGCUGCAAGGCUGCUCUCGGACUUCUGGCCUCAAGCAAUCUGCCCACCGCGUCCUCCCAAAGUGCUGGAUGGAAUUACAGACAGACAAACUGAACUGCUUCCAAAUAGCCUCAAUUACCUGGAUCCCAACAGUCAAGAAUUGUUGUUAAGGCACUUCGGAGAAGGUCAGUCCAAGCAGUACGGCUCUUUUCUGCCCGGGCCAUGGGAGAAGAUAAUAUUCCUUUUAGAGCCUGUAGGGAAGCUGCAACUGUCGAAGAUAACUGGCCCCCAGGUAAUUUCACAGCAGUCUCUCUGAGGACCCCGAUUGUGAGGUACAAUAUAGUAGGGAGAAUUGAGAUGCUUCCUGUAAGAUACAUUUUUUAAAAACACACUGGAUUUCAACCUAUAUAUAUGGUUCCUAAAAAGAAAUCAUCAAGGAGUAAGACAAUGUCAGAUUUUUAGUUUUUAAAAGAUGAUUUCUAAUAAAGAAUUAUAACUGUUAAGAUAAUGUAAGUAGCUUUAUUAAAAUUUUUACGGAUGGAUUAAAUCUUGAUGGUUAUAACUGGAGAUGACGUUUAAA